UCCUGAUGGCUCACAUGAAGUUUCGUGCCGUUCCGACCUCGUUUGAUACGGUUAUGGUUAACCACACGGCCCCUCGGGCCCGACCCGAGCCCAGUCAACGUUUUGACCCGAUCAAAUCGGCCCGUGACCCGAAACGACCCUACUUGGGCCCUACAACAGCCACGUAAAGUUUCGGGAUGAUCCGACGUUCUUUCAUGGGGUUACGGACAAUCCACGCCAAACAAGCGUCACGGGCCGACCGAGCCGGGCCAACGGGCCCUCGGGACCCGAAAACUGAAUUUUUUUUCAUCCAAACCCAUUAAAACACGUUACCGAGGUCUCACGCAAAAUUUCAUGCCAAUCCGACGUCGUUUGAUGGGGUUUUGAGAUAUUAUGAUUCCUCAAAAAUUUAAUGUCUGUUCCUGUCACUUAGCUUUUUGUGCAAAAUGUAUAUAUAGGGGAGGGGUGGGUGUUGAGCAGCCCAUGCCCGGGCAAGGCAUGCCAGCGCCCAAGCCAAAGGAGGCUGGUGGCGUGCGUAUAACAGCUCAAAUGCCCCAACGAUGACCGAGAACAAGCGCCCAUCUCCCCUCCUUCCCCCCCACCAAGCGCCCCUCCCCCCCCAUGUUGCCUGCCCACUCGCACAGCUACUCGUGAUUUCAUGCCCAGCGACUAGUGAAUGUGCCUCGACGACCAGCAAACCUCGAAAAUUAUGAUUCCUCGUAAAAUUAAUGUCUGUUCCUGUCACUUUACUUUUUGUGCAAAAUGUAUAUAUAGGGGAGACCAGGGGCUUGAGCAACCCCUGUGCCCAAGCAAGGGUCACAUGGAAGCACACGAGACGCGAGGUUUAAAGCCUAUACAAGCAAGGCGUCUGUCUCCCCAAGCCCCAUUGCCUAUAAAACAAGCCCGAUGCCUUGUAAAUGCCCCACACGAUGCCUAUAAACGACAACGAUGUUUGCUAGUUAAUCGAUCGACGCCCCACACCUUGCAGCAUGUUGCCUAGUAAACAAGCCAUGCUGCCUUGGAAGCGCCCCACAUCAUGGCAUGUUGCCUAGCACGCUGCCCUUGUUUCCAGCACGGCGACCUGAAAGCGUGGCCUGACGACGUGCUUGCCUUCGAAAAUUAUGAUUCCUCAAAAAAUUAAUGUCUGUUCCUGUCACUUUACUUUUUGU
rnacentral:rRNA from 1 species